rnacentral:rRNA from 1 species
UACGUAGGGUGCAGGCGUUAAUCGGAAUUACCGGGCGUAAAGCGUGCGCAGGCGGUUUGCUAAGACAGGUGUGAAAUCCCCGGGCUUAACCUGGGAACUGCGCUUGUUACUGGCAGGCUUGAGUGUGGCAGAGGGGGGUGGAAUUCCACGUGUAGCAGUGAAAUGCGUAGAGAUGUGGAGGAACACCGAUGGCGAAGGCAGCCCCCUGGGCUAACACUGACGCUCAUGCACGAAAGCGUGGGGAGCAAACAGG